AGUUAAAGUAAAAAAAUAAAACCCGAUACCCAACCCUAUUAUCAUUAUUGAUUUCACCUAGGCAACAAUCGUUCCGUGUCUCUGGGCCCUUACUAGCCAAGAUAUAUCAGACGAGCCAAAUUUGACAAAGACGGCAGGUAGAGAUUAUACCACCGGAUAAACUAACCCGAGUGGAUAUAAUAGGGACCCGAAUACGAUAACGAACAAGCUUCGGUGCGAUGUAGGUCCUUCAAUGUGAUACGAGUCCAAUUUAGCGCUUUUGAAGAUUGACCACGCUAGCGAUAACAACUAUAGGAGAGCGUAGGCAAAAUGAAUCACGAGGUAGUGUAAAGUUGAAGAAAGGAAGGAAGUGUAAGAUUGUGGGCCAAAUAUUGCUUGUAUGGUGUUUGCCACCCAAGUCGUAAAGAAAAGUGAACGCGCGGAAAUUUCACAGCGAGCGUAGAUAACUGCUGUGAAAGGAUUAACCCUUCAAAAAGGGUGCACCCCUAGGGUCGUCAUCUGGACGGUGAGUAAAUUGGACCGAAUCCCCUUUCGGUUAACAUCCAGUCCCCGACGCCGACGAGUUGACCUCGUCGGAGUUUAUGUCACUCGCUACCACCAACGUACGUACCCCACCACGACCACAACGCCAUCAAGCGGUCGAGUGCGGCAGCCACUGGGAAACGUUUCGCACCGCCGGCUAACGCCGGUCACG